rnacentral:rRNA from 1 species
UACAGAGGUGGCAAGCGUUGUUCGGAAUUAUUGGGCGUAAAGAGCUCGUAGGCGGUUCGUCGCGUCGGCUGUGAAAUCCCGAGGCUCAACCUCGGGUCUGCAGUCGAUACGGGCGGACUGGAGUUCGGCAGGGGAGACUGGAAUUCCUGGUGUAGCGGUGAAAUGCGCAGAUAUCAGGAGGAACACCGGUGGCGAAGGCGGGUCUCUGGGACGGUACUGACGCUGAGACGCGAAAGCGUGGGGAGCAAACAGG